UUUCUUUUUAGGUUCAGUAAUGUGUCUUCUUGUUAUGCAGUGUUACUCUUCUCUAUUUUCUUGUGUUUCAUGUUGCCUGUCAAUGCCUCUUUGGAGAUACACUGAGUGAAAUGUAAACUGAUGUUCUUUGACCAAGUGUGAUGGAAAAUGAAGAUGUAGGCUCCACUACAGCUAUUGUUCGAAGCGGGAAGGACCAUUUUGACUAUUUGUCAAC
rnacentral:lncRNA from 1 species